rnacentral:rRNA from 1 species
GAUGAACGCUGGCGGCGUGCCUAAUACAUGCAAGUCGAGCGAACAGACGAGGAGCUUGCUCCUCUGACGUUAGCGGCGGACGGGUGAGUAACACGUGGAUAACCUACCUAUAAGACUGGGAUAACUUCGGGAAACCGGAGCUAAUACCGGAUAAUAUAUUGAACCGCAUGGUUCAAUAGUGAAAGACGGUUUUGCUGUCACUUAUAGAUGGAUCCGCGCCGCAUUAGCUAGUUGGUAAGGUAACGGCUUACCAAGGCAACGAUGCGUAGCCGACCUGAGAGGGUGAUGCCCCAACCGGAAAAUGAACCCCGGCCCCGACUCCGAGGGGAGGCAGAAGUGGGGAAUCUUCCGCAAUGGGGGAAAGCCUGCCGGAGAAACGCCGGGUGGGUGAAGAAGUGCUUCGGAUCGUAAAACGCUGUUUUUGGGGAAAAACAAAUGUGUAAGUAACUAUGCCCGUUUGGACGGGACCAAAUAAGAAAGCCCCGGCUAACUACGU